AGGACUGUAGUUAAUUAUAACAUUUAAUUUGCAUUUAAAAAGUAUUGAUCUAUCAAUCUGUCUUA
rnacentral:tRNA from 1 species